CUACGUGCCAGCAGCCGCGGUAAUACGGAAGGUCCAGGCGUUAUCCGGAUUUAUUGGGUUUAAAGGGUGCGUAGGCCGUUUGAUAAGCGUGCUGUGAAAUAUAGUGGCUCAACCUCUAUCGUGCAGCGCGAACUGUUGAACUUGAGUGCGUAGUAGGUAGGCGGAAUUCGUGGUGUAGCGGUGAAAUGCUUAGAUAUCACGAAGAACUCCGAUUGCGAAGGCAGCUUACCGUAACGUUACUGACGCUUAAGCACGAAGGUGCGGGUAUCGAACAGGAUUAGAUACCCUGGUAGUCCGCMCAGUAAACGAUGGAUGCUCGCUGUUGGCCUUUUUGGUCAGUGGCUUAGCGAAAGCGUUAAGCAUCCCACCUGGGGAGUACGCCGGCAACGGUGAAACUCAAAGGAAUUGACGGGGGCCCGCACAAGCGGAGGAACAUGUGGUUUAAUUCGAUGAUACGCGAGGAACCUUACCCGGGCUUGAACUGCAGCUGAACGAUUCAGAGAUGAU
rnacentral:rRNA from 1 species